rnacentral:rRNA from 1 species
GAGAAGUCACUUCGGUGGCGAGUACAGUGGCGCACGGGUGAGUAACGCGUAGAUGAUCUACCCUUCAGUCUGGGACAACUCUUGGAAACGGGAGCUAAUACCGGAUAAAACCUUCGGGUUGAAAGAUUUAUCGCUGGGGGAUGAGUCUGCGUACCAUUAGCUUGUUGGUGGGGUAACGGCCUACCAAGGCGACGAUGGUUAGCGGGUCUGAGAGGACGAUCCGCCACACUGGAACUGAGACACGGUCCAGACUCCUACGGGAGGCAGCAGUAGGGAAUAUUGCGCAAUGGGGGCAACCCUGACGCAGCAAUGCCGCGUGAGUGAAGAAGGCCUUCGGGUCGUAAAGCUCUUUUAUGGGGGAAGAUGAUGACGGUACCCCAUGAAUAAGCACCGGCUAACUACGUGCCAGCAGCCGCGGUAAUACGUAGGGUGCGAGCGUUGUUCGGAAUUACUGGGCGUAAAGGGCGUGCAGGCGGAUUGGCAAGCCGGAGGUGAAAGCCCGGGGCUCAACCCCGGAGGGUCUUUCGGAACUGCCAGUCUUGAGAGGGUCAGGGGCCAGCGGAAUUCCUGGUGUAGAGGUGAAAUUCGUAGAGAUCAGGAGGAACACCGGCGGCGAAAGCGGCUGGCUGGGGCCACUCUGACGCUGAGGCGCGAAAGCGUGGGGAGCAAACAGGAUUAGAUACCCUGGUAGUCCACGCCGUAAACGAUGGGCACUAAGCGUCCGACGGGUUCGACCCUGUUGGGUGCUGCAGCUAACGCGUUAAGUGCCCCGCCUGGGGAGUACGGUCGCAAGACUAAAACUCAAAGGAAUUUGACGGGGGCCCGCACAAGCGG